rnacentral:rRNA from 1 species
UACAGAGGUCUCAAGCGUUGUUCGGAUUCACUGGGCGUAAAGGGCGCGUAGGCGGCGCGGCAAGUCGGAUGUGAAAUCUCGGAGCUUAACUUCGAAACUGCAUUCGAUACUGCCGUGCUUGAGGACUGGAGAGGAGACUGGAAUUUACGGUGUAGCGGUGAAAUGCGUAGAUAUCGGAAGGAAGACCAGUGGCGAAGGCGGGUCUCUGGACAGAUCCUGACGCUGAGGCACGAAGGUGAGGGGAGCAAACGGG